GCAGUGGUGGUUCACUGGUAGAAUUCUUGCCUUUCAUGCAGGAGACCUGGGUUUGAUUCCCAGCCACUGCA